GAUGAACGCUGGCGGCGUGCCUAACACAUGCAAGUCGAGCGAACGGACGAGAAGCUUGCUUCUCUGAUGUUAGCGGCGGACGGGUGAGUCACACGUGGAUAACCUACCUAUAUGACUGGGAUAACUUCGGGAAACCGGAGCUAAUACCGGAUGAUAUUUUGAACCGCAUGGUUCAAUAGUGAAAGACGGUCUUGCUGUCACUUAUAGAUGGAUCCGCGCUGCAUUAGCUAGUUGGUAAGGUAACGGCUUACCAAGGCAACGAUGCAUAGCCGACCUGUGAGGGUGAUCGGCCACACUGGAACUGAGACGCGGUCCAGACUCCUACGGGAGGCAGCAGUAGGGAAUGUUCGGCAAUGGUCGAAAGCCUGACGGAGCAACGCCGAGUGAGUGAUGGAGGUCUUCGGAUCGUAAAGCUCUGUUAUUGGGGAAGAACAUAUGUGUAAUUAGCUGAAGACAUCGUGACGGUACCGAAUCAAAAAGCAACGGCUAACUACGUG
rnacentral:rRNA from 1 species